AUUUCUUACGAUACUUGUCUUGUUUAAAGCGUGUCUCUGACCUACACACUUACUGCGAGUUACACGGGCUGCUAGUUUGUUUUAUAAGAUUUUGAAUAUAUUUAUACAUUAUACAUAUUACAUUCGAUAAUUGAUUACGAUUUACGUUUUAAAAUAUUAUAAUAUUCAAAUCGUUUUCAUCAGAAUACAUUCAACUUUCAGUUACCAAAUUCUUCACUCACAGAAAAUGGCCCAGAAGGAAGCUGCAUAAAAGGCAAAAGAAUUCAAUGAAACAUUGAAGGUUGAUGCAUGUAUUGAAACUAUUUUUACUUGUAGAGAAUCAUAUAGUUUAAAAAUCUCCUGAACUCAAAAUGCCUCAGUGUUGUUCAAAUGACAUAAAAUGUAAAUUAGAAAUCCCCAAAAUGUCUAAAACAGAAAAUAAUAUAAUUAAUUGUGAUGGAAAGAAUUCGGGAAAAAUUCCACGUUUUGAACUCAUUCAAGUUAUUAAACCGUCAGUCCAUUUUUAUGCUAGAGCCAGAAGAAAUGUUUAUGUUAAUGGAUGUGGCCUUAGUUAGACGAGAAUUGAUGUGUUUAAGGAUACAUGUCAAGAUGAUAAGGAAAUGCAUUAUAAUUCUGUGCUACAUUAGGGCUAUAAGAAAAAUUUAUUUGAAGAAGAAGCAGCCAUUUUUCUUGAACAAAAAUCACCAUAUAUUGUAUCUCAUGAAAAACUUAUCUCCAAGGUUUAAAAAUAAAUUUCCACUGAUAAAAGAAGAUUUGAAUCCGAUAAAUCCCUUAUCAUACAUGAAGAAAUAAAAGUAGAAGUCAUGGUUAUCAAAAACAAGCAGUUUAUAUUAAGCACUGUGAAACCAUACUCAAAACUAUGAAGACUAGAGAUAUCUCUAAAUCUCUAGUCUACAUUCUCAAAACUUUAAAAUUUAAAUUUAUACCCUUAUCAUUCCCUCCAAAUGUUCAUUUUCGUGUCAAAAAAUCCAAGCAAAGUUUUCAUAAAAUGUAAAAUGUAAAAUGUUGUUAAACACUUUUGUUGUUGAGUAAUUAUAUAUUUAUACUCCAUUUAUAUACUACUCUUAUAGUAAAUAUUUUAGACGUGUAAGGUGAAUAAAGAAUUUUUUAUUAAAAAAAAU